CUGUCUGCCGGGCAGCGGAGCGCAGCGCACUGAGCUUGUCACAAGUCCCAGAACCAGUAUUGGUAAGAGGGCCGAUUGAACACUCAUCCUUCUGACCAGCAUGGACACAGAUCUCAGGCUCUCGUCAUUUCGAAAAAGGAAGAAGAAUGUCUCAAGUGACACGGCUUCCCAGGUUCCCCCAGAGAAAUUCCAUUGUGACCGCCAGGAAGCUCUCGAACCUGUGAAAUGAUGUCACUUGAGGCAGUUUAGGAAAAAGAGGGGGAUGGUCCCAAGAGGAACUCCCUUUUUGCUGGACCGCUUAGAGACUUCAAUACCUAUGCGAUCACUUUCACAGUAGGGCGGAAUAUAUCUGCAACCUGGAACAGGAUUCUUCAUUCACCAACAUUGAUUAAGUUUAAAUAUAUAUAUAUGUAUAUUUGAAUAUGUAUAGUUAAAUGAAGAGCA